CAACAGGGAUUGCCCUAGUAACGGCGAGUGAAGCGGCAACAGCUCAAAUUUGAAAUCUGGCGUCUUUGGCGUCCGAGUUGUAAUUUGCAGAGGGCGCUUUGGCAUUGGCAGCGGUCCAAGUUCCUUGGAACAGGACGUCACAGAGGGUGAGAAUCCCGUACGUGGUCGCUAGCCUUUACCGUGUAAAGCCCCUUCGACGAGUCGAGUUGUUUGGGAAUGCAGCUCUAAAUGGGAGGUAAAUUUCUUCUAAAGCUAAAUACUGGCCAGAGACCGAUAGCGCACAAGUAGAGUGAUCGAAAGAUGAAAAGCACUUUGGAAAGAGAGUUAAAAAGCACGUGAAAUUGUUGAAAGGGAAGCGCUUGCAGCCAGACUUGCCUGUAGUUGCUCAUCCGGGUUUUUACCCGGUGCACUCUUCUAUAGGCAGGCCAGCAUCAGUUUGGGCGGUUGGAUAAAGGUCUCUGUCAUGUACCUCCUCUCGGGGAGAACUUAUAGGGGAGACGUAAUGCAACCAGCCUGGACUGAGGUCCGCGCAUCUGCUAGGAUGCUGGCGUAAUGGCUGUAAGCGG
rnacentral:rRNA from 1 species